GUUUUCCAACCUGAGGAUCCUUCCUGAUCAGAUAGUUCACGGGUCUGAGAAGGGCCGGAGGGGGCGAGACUCCCAGAAAGCAGAGCUUGAAACUGUCCUGUACCUGGACUGCACCCACCUGGGGUGGAGGGGCCACUGCGCUGAGAUCUCUUCAAGGUCUCUGCUCAGCUGUGAACACCAUCAGGCGAGGAUGGGAAAGAGACAGUCGUGCUGACGCAGCUGCUCCUGACGACCCACCAUCACAGGCUGCCAGCCAGCCACGCUCCACGGAGGGUCUUAAUAAUGACUUUUCAGUUCUUGCAACGGUUUCUGACAGCCGUUAUGUUCCAUGCACUCUACUGACUGCUUCCACGCACAUUAUGUCAGGAUCACCUCCACUUUCCAGAUGAGGAAGAGGAGGCUCAGAGAAGGUAUGUAACCUUCCCAAGGCCACACAGCUAGGACGUGGCAGACCCAGACCAGCAUGAAGGUUUUUGAAGAAAAAUAGUCAUAUCCACGGUUUCCUUUG
rnacentral:lncRNA from 1 species